rnacentral:rRNA from 1 species
AUUGAACGCUGGCGGCAGGCCUAACACAUGCAAGUCGAGCGGAGCGGCGGACGGGUGAGUAAUGCCUAGGAAUCUGCCUGGUAGUGGGGGAUAACGUCCGGAAACGGACGCUAAUACCGCAUACUAUCAGAUGAGCCUAGGUCGGAUUCGCUCGUUGGUGUGGUAAGGGCCUACCAAGGCGACGAUCCGUAACUGGGCUGAGCGGACGAUCAGUCACACUGGAACUGUUGCCCGGUCCAGACUCCUACGGGAGGCAGCAGUGGGGAAUAUUGGGAAAUGGGCUCAAGCCUGUUCAACCCAUGCCGGGUAUGUGAAGAAGGUCUUCGGAUUGUAAAGCACUUUAAGGUGGUAGGCGUUACCUACAGAAUAAGCACCGGCUAACUUCGUGCCAGCAGCCGCGGUAAUUC